rnacentral:rRNA from 1 species
UACGUAGGGUGCGAGCGUUAAUCGGAAUUACUGGGCGUAAAGCGUGCGCAGGCGGUUCGUUAUGUCCGAUGUGAAAGCCCCGAGCUCAACUUGGGAAUGGCAUUGGAAACUACCUUGCUCGAGGGUUGGAGGGGGGACUGGAAUGCUUGGUGUAGCAGUGAAAUGCGUAGAUAUCAAGCGGAACACCAGUGGCGAAGGCGAGUCCCUGGACAACUCCUGACACUGAGGCACGAAAGCUAGGGGAGCAAACAGG